GUAGGUGGCAAGCGUUGUCCGGAAUUAUUGGGCGUAAAGCGCGCGCAGGUGGUUCUUUAAGUCUGAUGUGAAAGCCCCCGGGCUCAACCGGGGAGGGUCAUUGGAAACUGGGGAACUUGAGUGCAGGAGAGGAAAGUGGAAUUCCACGUGUAGCGGUGAAAUGCGUAGAUAUGAGGAGGAACACCAGUGGCGAAGGCGACUUUCUGGCCUGUAACUGACACUGAGGCGCGAAAGCGUGGGGAGCAAACAGGAUUAGAUACCCUGGUAGUCCACGCCGUAAACGAUGAGUGCUAAGUGUUGGGGGGUUUCCGCCCCUCAGUGCUGCAGCUAACGCAUUAAGCACUCCGCCUGGGGAGUACGGUCGCAAAGACUG
rnacentral:rRNA from 1 species